UAUCGAACGCAGCCAAACAAGCCCGUGCCACGGGUCAGAUAAGCUUUUCUCUCCCCUUCGCAGCUGCAACCGCUCGCCGCGUGCUCCCUUUGUACUGAACCGCAUCCUCCCCGCGCCGACCUGCUCCGGCGAGUUAAACAUGGCCGUCCUCCUCCGCAGCACCUCCGCCGCCGCCUCGACUGCUGGCCCCUCCUCGGCGCUGCUCGCCACCACCUUCCGCCGCUCCCGCGGCUGCCUUCUGCCCCGUGCCGCGCCGCAGCGCCGCUUGUAUGUGGCCCGCGCCUCGGCCCAGCCCCUCGAGGUCUGCGCUAAGGAGUCCAUCACCAUCCCUGGCCGCCUCGGAGACUGUCCUUUCACACAGAGGGUUUUGUUGACUAUAGAGGAGAAGCAUCUGCCUUAUGAUCUGAAGCUAGUUGAUCUAGCUAAUAAGCCAGAUUGGUUAUUUGAAAUCAACCCAGAAGGUAAAGUGCCUAUCGUGAAGCUCGAGGAAAAAUGGAUUGGUGAUUCUGAUGUUAUAACACAAGCAUUAGAGGAGAAAUACCCUGAACCACCCUUGGCAACUCCACCAGAAAAAGCUUCAGUUGGAUCAAAAAUAUUUUCCACUUUCAUUGGUUUCCUCAAAAGCAAAGAUCCAAGCGAUGGAACAGAAGAGGCACUACUUAAUGAGCUUACUUCAUUUGAUAGUUAUCUAAAAGACAAUGUUCACUGGUGCAGAGACCCCGACCAAAGAGGCCUCCAUCGAGCGGGCCCGGCAUUGAGGGGCCGCGCCAGGCGGCAACGGAACGACAAAGACUUCGCUACAUCCCGGGAGCGAAGUCCUUGUCACCCUUGGCGACGCAUCGAAAGGGGAGCCCUUGCUAAACCUCCGUUCAGCCCAGCCGGCCAAAGGGCAUCUGGGGACUCCAUCAUACUCCGGAGGCGACUCUUUCCCUACCCCUUGUCUAGCCGUUGACUGAUAGGAAGCUCGCACAAAGACUCUUGAGGACACCGUCAGCAGUUAUGCUUCGUAGGCCCACCUGUCGGCGUAACGCGCGAGUGUGUAAAUUAGUGUGUGCCGUCUGCUGCAUGGAUGGCGCUGUAAUUACUCUGUUACAUGGAAUAUUCUUUGGAUAUAGUUGGUAGAUAGGGGUAGGGUCGUACUUUGGACCACCUUCCCCCGGACGGGCCUAUAAAUACGCCCGUCCUAUAGCCAAAUAAGACACGCACAACGAGAAGCUAUCAUUCCCACCAACCGUCGUGUUACCCUCUCAUGCUCUGCUUUUUGUCACUGAGUGUUUGGGUCCACAUGACGGCGCGUCAGUGCCCAACAAUCAUCCUUGUCGAGAGCUUAUGGUUGUCACCUCGAAGCAACAGGUGUGCCAUCAGGCAGUGUAGUGAGAUCAGCCCCCCUCAACAGCUCCUCUAGUUUGUGUAGUUCCUCUAACACCCGUGGCUAGAACUGGUGUAGGAGACAGUGUGGUACUGUUCCUAUUUACUCUAACAACCCUCUGCAGUUACAAUGGCAGCACUGCAGGCGGUGAGACUAGAGAAGAAGCUGACAGGCUAAUAUCCCCCUGUGGUCAUAAUGGGUGAUGCACUGCAUAUACUAUUAGUCAUCUAAAAUGUAGUUUUAUCCUACAAUGAUUCCAAAAGUCGCCUUUUUGCUCAUAUCAAACUACUUAGUUUUAAUAAACCAAAUGUCCAUAUGGAAAAUUCAAACUUUCAAGACCCUUGGUUUGUUUAAUAUAACAUGAGCGCUUCUCAAAUACAGAAUAUGGCGAUUUAUCAUUUGCCUUGCAUCAACAAUGACAAAUGGAAACCUUGAGUUCUGUUCAAACUUAUACAAACUUGAUUCAAGUUUUAUAUCAGCUAAGAUGAAUUAGUUGUGAUAUCUUAAUUUACAUUCAAUCCAUAUGAAAGAUGAUGUCAACUUCACAUGAACCUUUAUAGUUAUAUGAUAUCUUAACUUAUAUUUGGUAACUAAGUAUUCGUUUUUCUGUGGUUUAUCUCAAAUUUGCCGUGUAAUUCUGAGACACUGGUGCAGGGUCCAUUUAUUAAUGGUGGAAUAAUUUCUGCUGCUGAUCUCUCUCUGGGUCCUAAACUAUAUCACAUGGAGAUAACUCUGGGCCACUACAAGAAUUGGUCUGUUCCAGAUUCACUUUCUUAUGUAAAAACAUAUAUGAAGUCGAUUUUCUCAAUGGAUUCUUUUGUCAAAACUCAAGCUCUGACAGAGGAUGUAAUUGCUGGAUGGCGCCCAAAAGUCAUGGGUUAAAUUCAUUUCUAAAGUUAGACGUUAAGGAGAGGGAGAGAGGUGUCGAUUGGCGAAUGGAGGGUCUAGAUGCAAAGGUUUGUCGCAUGGCUGUAAUAUGUACAUGAAAUGUGGUGGAUUUUGUUAGGAAUUUUCUAGGGCAUAGCAUAUCUGGUAUUCAUAUCCAAUCUCCUUUGCUUUGUAUGUCAAAUGGAAAACUCCUUCGAGACUCAGGUUUAAUUUCUUUAGUGGCAAAUUUUUUGGAUUGGUUAAAAAAAUCUCUCAUUGUGUCUCAUCCACUUUCGGGUUACAAUGUCAUAUAUGUUACUCUU